CAAAGAUGAGUAUGGGAUGACCCCACUCAUAAACAGAAGCUGAGAAAGAAGAUCAGAAGGGGAAACUCAAAGCAAGAUCUGACUGAAUUUGGACUAUGGCACCAAAUUUCUAGUCUCAUUGAAAUUUUCAUUGAUAGAAGAAAAAAGAUGGCAGAAUCCAUCUCCAAAUUUUUACAACUGUUUUAAGUCUGGUGUUUCUUGAACCUGUGUGUCCUGAGUGAGUGAAAAGCAAUCCAGAACAGCAAUGACAUCUCAAGACAAGGUGCUUGGCUCUGGCCUUCAGCCCACUUAAGAAAAGAAUUCCAGGGGCCAUCAGAAAACAUGAUAGUGAGAGCUGGGGAAGUCCAAUUAAUGCAGAAACUGUUCUUUUGUAUUUGAAUUAAAAAAAAAAAAACUUAAUAGGAGAUAUAGAUGUAUCUAUUGUUUGGGACAGUUCAAAUCUUCCUGUUGGGGCUAGUAACUAGUAACCGUAAAAACCUGAUUGCGAUUUAUAAUAUCAGCAAAACAAA